UUCAACUUGAGAGUUUGAUCCUGGCUCAGAGCGAACGCUGGCGGCAGGCUUAACACAUGCAAGUCGAACGGGCACCUUCG
rnacentral:rRNA from 1 species